rnacentral:rRNA from 1 species
UACGGAGGGUGCAAGCGUUGUUCGGAAUCACUGGGCGUAAAGCGCGUGUAGGCGGCCUUCUAAGUCUGGUGUGAAAUCCCGGGGCUCACCCCCGGAAGUGCACUGGAUACUGGGAGACUAGAGUACCGGAGAGGAGGGUGGAAUUCCUGGUGUAGCGGUGAAAUGCGUAGAUAUCAGGAAGAACACCGGUGGCGAAGGCGGCCCUCUGGACGGAUACUGACGCUCAGGCGCGACAGCGUGGGGAUCAAACAGG